AACGUACGCUGGCGGCACGCCUAACACAUGCAAGUCGAACGAAGUAGCAAUACUUAGUGGCAGACGGGUGAGUAACAUGUAGGUAUCUGCCCUUUGGCCUGGAAUAACACGAGGAAACUUGUGCUAAUACCGGAUAAGUCUUUACGGAGAAAGCUUUAUGCACCAUUGGAUGAGCCUGCACUUGAUUAGUUUGUUGGUGGGGUAAUGGCCUACCAAGACUGUGAUCAAUAGCUGAUUUGAGAGGAUGAUCAGCCACAUUGGGACUGAGACACGGCCCAAACUCCUACGGGAGGCAGCAGUGGGGAAUCUUGCACAAUGGAGGAAACUCUGAUGCAGCGAUGCCGCGUGAGUGAAGAAGGCCCUUGGGUUGUAAAGCUCUUUCGUCGGGGAAGAAAAUGACUGUACCCGAAUAAGAAGGUCCGGCUAACUUCGUGCCAGCAGCCGCGGUAAUACGAAGGGACCUAGCGUAGUUCGGAAUUACUGGGCUUAAAGAGUUCGUAGGUGGUUGAAAAAGUUAGUGGUGAAAUCCCAGAGCUUAACUCUGGAACUGCCAUUAAAACUUUUCAGCUAGAGUAUGAUAGAGGAAAGCAGAAUUUCUAGUGUAGAGGUGAAAUUCGUAGAUAUUAGAAAGAAUACCAAUUGCGAAGGCAGCUUUCUGGAUCAUUACUGACACUGAGGAACGAAAGCAUGGGUAGCGAAGAGGAUUAGAUACCCUCGCAGUCCAUGCCGUAAACGAUGUGUGUUAGACGUUGGAAAUUUAUUUUCAGUGUCGCAGGGAAACCGAUAAACACACCGCCUGGGGAGUACGACCGCAAGGUUAAAACUCAAAUGAAUUGACGGGGACCCGCACAAGUAGUGGAGCAUGUGGUUUAAUUCGAAGAUACGCGCAGAACCUUACCAACACUUGACAUGUUCGUCGCGACUCUAAGAGAUUAGAGUUUUCGGUUCGGCCGGACGAAACACAGGUGCUGCAUGGCUGUCGUCAGCUCGUGUCGUGAGAUGUUGGGUUAAGUCCCGCAACGAGCGCAACCCUCACUUUUAGUUGCCAUCAUUAAGUUGGGCACUCUGAAAGAACUGCCAGUGAUAAGCUGGAGGAAGGUGGGGAUGACGUCAAGUCCUCAUGGCCCUUACGUGUUGGGCUACACACGUGCUACAAUGGUAUCUACAACAGGAAGCAAGACUGCGAAGUUAAGCAAAUCCCUAAAAGAUACCUCAGUUCGGAUUGCACUCUGCAACUCGAGUGCAUGAAGCUGGAAUUACUAGUAAUCGUGGAUCAGCGUGCCACGGUGAAUGCGUUCCCGGGUCU
rnacentral:rRNA from 1 species